GAGUUUGAUCGUGGCUCAGGAUGAACGCCGGCGGUGUGCCUAAUACAUGCAAGUCGAACGCGUUGGCCCAACUGAUUGAUUGUGCUUGCACAGGAUUGACGUUGGUUUCCCAACGAGUGGCGGACGGGUGAGUAACACGUAGGCAACCUGCCCCGAAGCGGGGGACAACAUUUGGAAACAAGUGCUAAUACCGCAUAACAACUUUGACCGCCUGGUCAAAGCUUAAAAGAUGGUUUCGGCUAUCACUUCGGGAUGGGCCUGCGGCGCAUUAGCUUGUUGGUGGGGUAACGGCCUACCAAGGCGAUGAUGCGUAGCCGAGUUGAGAGACUGAUCGGCCACAAUGGGACUGAGACACGGCCCAUACUCCUACGGGAGGCAGCAGUAGGGAAUCUUCCACAAUGGGCGCAAGCCUGAUGGAGCAACACCGCGUGAGUGAAGAAGGGUUUCGGCUCGUAAAGCUCUGUUGUUGAAGAAGAAUGUGCAAGAGAGUAACUGUUCUUGUAUUGACGGUAUUCAACC
rnacentral:rRNA from 1 species